UGGGGAAUAUUGCACAAUGGGCGCAAGCCUGAUGCAGCCAUGCCGCGUGUGUGAAGAAGGCCUUCGGGUUGUAAAGCACUUUCAGCGAGGAGGAAGGUGGUGGACUUAAUACGUUCAUCAAUUGACGUUACUCGCAGAAGAAGCACCGGCUAACUCCGUGCCAGCAGCCGCGGUAAUACGGAGGGUGCAAGCGUUAAUCGGAAUUACUGGGCGUAAAGCGCACGCAGGCGGUUUGUUAAGUCAGAUGUGAAAUCCCCCGGGCUCAACCUGGGAACUGCAUUUGAAACUGGCAAGCUAGAGUCUCGUAGAGGGGGGCUAGAAUUCCAGGUGUAGCGGUGAAAUGCGUAGAGAUCUGGAGGAAUACCGGUGGCGAAGGCGGCCCCCUGGACGAAGACUGACGCUCAGGUGCGAAAGCGUGGGGAGCAAACAGAUUAGNUACCCCUGGUAGUCCACGCUGUAAAACGAUGUCGA
rnacentral:rRNA from 1 species